rnacentral:sRNA from 2 species
GGACAGUCAUCGCCGAGUCCCCGUACGGCGCGAGCCAGGGGAGCCGGGGACCCACGCAGUCCCUGGGGUGAAUCGGACGCCCGCGCGCCAGCGAGGGGGUCCGUAGGAGACCUUCCUGCUCCGAACCCGUCAGCUAACCCGGUAGGCGAGAGGGAAGGAAAGG